CAGCAGACAAUAGAAUCUAUAAAUAGAUAGAUACUCCUCCCAUUUUUGAUGGCUUUUUACUACCACUGCCCUUCAUCACCCUACAUUUUAAACUCAGUUUUGUUCCCCACGUGUAUUCAAGUUUAAAAAGCACAAAGACUUUGUACGACAGCAUUAGAUAUAUACAAACAUGGUUUUCAACUGCUGGGUCACAAAACAUACCGAAGGAUAAUGCUUAUACUCUAAAACACACAACUAUUAUGUUCUUUUAAUCUCACGAAAUCUCAUUUCAAUUUGAAUUUCAAAUUCAGAAAGAGUUUUUCACUCUUCGUUCAUAGAAGCAGAUACAUUGAUUCUAUAGUCUUCUGUCCGCAAUUUCAUGUUUCAUGGAUGAGGUUAGCAUGACAUUUAAUAUAUCAGCCAACUUACAGUCACUGUUCACAUGAAAUACAAAACAGCUUGCAAACUCUAUGGAUUACGGAUCUGGCUUCUGGGGCUAUCAAAGAUGUUGUCAAAGGUAUAAAAUUUGUCUCUUUUUAUGGCUGGCAUCUGCUUAUGUAAUGUCAAUUUUGAACUGUGUAACUUUUCACAUCCCUGAAGGAUUUCCAAAAAUAUGGGAGAUAUGUGGACCGAUGAUCCAAAGAAGUCAGCCCUCUUGAAUAAGGUGCCAGUAGAAUGGUUGCAGCAGCAGGUUGGACCUAACUGUCCACUAGAGGGUGUUUAAUAUGCGAGUCUAAUGUCGUCAGUGGCCACAUUUCAGGACCAUGUAGUUGUCUGUGAUACAGGUUCAAUUCAUUUAUACAUUACUCUGUUCUUUUCUUAUCACAUUGCAUGUAUCUAUGAGUUCUAAUAAGAAUGUAAUUUGAAGUUGGUCAGCGACUGUUAAAACUCGAUAAGACAUCUAGAUCAGUUUCAAACUUCCAGUUCUCAAAUUUUGGAAUUCUUGGACGACCUUACUGGUGUUCAUAUUCUUUGGAGAGAGUUUA